rnacentral:rRNA from 1 species
GCAUAUCAAUAAGCGGAGGAAAAGAAACCAACAGGGAUUACCUCAGUAACGGCGAGUGAAGCGGUAACAGCUCAAAUUUGAAAUCUGGGCCUUUUAGGCUCCGAGUUGUAAUUUGUAGAAGAUGCUUCGGGUGUGGCCCCGGUCUAAGUUCCUUGGAACAGGACGUCAUAGAGGGUGAGAAUCCCGUAUGUGACUGGGUGCCUUCGCUCAUGUGAAGCUCUUUCGACGAGUCGAGUUGUUUGGGAAUGCAGCUCAAAAUGGGUGGUAUAUUUCAUCUAAAGCUAAAUAUUGGCCAGAGACCGAUAGCGCACAAGUAGAGUGAUCGAAAGAUGAAAAGCACUUUGGAAAGAGAGUUAAACAGUACGUGAAAUUGUUGAAAGGGAAGCGCUUGCAAUCAGACUUGCAUGCCGUCAAUCAUCUAGGGUUCUCUCUAGUGCACUUGGCGGCGUUCAGGCCAGCAUCGGUUUCGGGGGUGGGAUAAAGGCCUUGGGAAUGUAGCUUCUUUCGGGGAGUGUUAUAGCCCUCGGUGCAAUGCCGCCUCCUGGGACCGAGGACCGCGCUCCGGCUAGGAUGCUGGCGUAAUGGUUGUAAGCGACCCGUCUUGAAACACGGACCAAGGAGUCUAACAUUUAUGCGAGUAUUUGGGUGUUAAACCCAUAUGCGGAAUGAAAGUGAACGGAGGUAGGAACCCUUAAGGGUGCACUAUCGACCGAUCCUGAUGUCUUCGGAUGGAUUUGAGUAAGAGCAUAACUGUUGGGACCCGAAAGAUGGUGAACUAUGCGUGAAUAGGGUGAAGCCAGAGGAAACUCUGGUGGAGGCUCGCAGCGGUUCUGACGUGCAAAUCGAUCGUCAAAUUUGCGUAUAGGGGCGAAAGACUAAUCGAACCAUCUAGUAGCUGGUUCCUGCCGAAGU